rnacentral:rRNA from 1 species
UACGUAGGGUGCAAGCGUUGUCCGGAAUCAUUGGGCGUAAAGAGCGUGUAGGCGGCCUGUUAAGUCUUGCGUGAAAUCUCGGGGCUCAACCCCGAGCGGUCGUGAGAAACUGGCAGGCUAGAGUGCGGGAGAGGAGAGUGGAAUUCCUGGUGUAGCGGUGAAAUGCGCAGAUAUCAGGAAGAACACCCGUGGCGAAAGCGGCGCACUGGACCAUAACUGACGUGAGGCGCGAAAGCUAGGGGAGCAAACAGG